CGGGAAUUUUGGACAAUGGGCGCAAGCCUGAUCCAGCCAUGCCGCGUGCAGGAUGAAGGCCUUCGGGUUGUAAACUGCUUUCGUACGGAACGAAAAGGCUUUCUCUAAUAAAGAGGGCUCAUGACGGUACCGUAAGAAUAAGCAUCGGCUAACUUCGUGCCAGCAGCCGCGGUAAGACGAAGGAUGCAAGCGUUAUCCGGAUUCAUUGGGUUUAAAGGGUGCGUAGGCGGACCUGUAAGUCAGUGGUGAAAUCUCUCAGCUUAACUGAGAAACUGCCAUUGAUACUGCAAGUCUAGAGUAUAGAUGACGUUGGCGGAAUAUGACAUGUAGUGGUGAAAUACUUAGAUAUGUCAUAGAACACCGAUUGCGAAGGCAGCUAACGAAACUAUAACUGACGCUGAGGCACGAAAGUGCGGGGAUCAAAC
rnacentral:rRNA from 1 species